UGGGAGGAAGGGCUGGCAUCGGUCUGCACAGGAGACAGAUUCUUUCUGUACAGAGUUCACUUUGCCGCUGCAUUACUGGCUGAAGUGGCGUGGGCAUGGCAUCCCGCCUUUGUAAGCCGGUAGCAGUCACAGGUGACCACGUGGGUUUGGUGCAACACUUCCAGGGCACCAGGGGUCAUUCAGGGCACUCAGCUGUUUACCUUCCCUCAACAGUGUUUCUCUGUAGCCCUGGGUGUCCUUAAACUGAGUCUGUAGACCAGGCUGGGCCAAGUCUCUGCUUUUUGUCCAUUUGCUUGGCUCGGUUCGGUUUGGUUUUUUGAGGUAGUUUCUUUGUGUAUCCCUGACUGUCCUGGAACUCACUCCAUAGACCAGACUGGCCUCUAGUUCAGGGAUCUGCCUGCCUGUGCUGGGAUUAAAGGUGUGACCACCACACCCAGCAAGUCCUCAGUUCUUAAGCAAAUACAUUAUAAAAGUAAUUGCUCACCUUGGCCAAACCUUAUCAUGGGUAAGUGGGUUACACAGAGAGCUGGGUAGCUUUUGCGGUGCCAUCUAGCAGUGUGGAAGUCACAGCAUGGACCGAGGUUAACAUGGAGGUUAACAUUCAUCUGCCUCCCUCAUUCAAUGUCCAGCAUGUCUCCCGCUGUUAGACCCUCACCAAUGCUUUUCACCUGGAUUGGGGUCCAUGUUAAAAGUUUCCAGACCUGGGGUUGGGGAUUUUAGCUCAGUGGUAGAGCACUUGCCUAGGAAGCUCAAGGCCCUGGGUUCGGUCCCCAGCUCCGAAAAAAAGAACCAAAAAAAAAAAAAAAAAAAGUUUCCAGAGCUGAGCCCUGGGAGCUCUUGAACUUUGCCAGAUUAAACGUGUUGCUGAUGCUAGAACUGGGUCUCCUUGGAGCCUCACUGGACUUUCUCGCCAGGGUUUACUGGGUGGGAAAUGAUCAUUUAUGUUCCUCCUGUCUGUUACACCAAGGACUCGCUCUCCUCCUCAUCUGCAUCUUCUCUGCUAGCCUUGUGGGAGGACGUAAGUGACGGCAGCUCCCCUUCCUUGGGCUGCUCAGAGACAGUGCCCUGUGUGCUCUGACUUCUGAGUCUGUGUCCUUUGAUUAACAACUAAGGAAACGGCUUUUACGCCUCUAAAAAUUACUUCAUUGGCUUGCUCUUCCCUCACCAGCUGGAUCGCUGACCUGUUUAACUUGCCUGUGGGUGGUACUCGUGUUUACUACCUUUGCUCACUAUCUAAUUAAUGUCCCUGUCCUCGGAGGAUUCGUUUACCAGCCCUAGCCUGCAGUACUCAGUUGUACCUGUGCUGUGUCCCCAGCCCUCCUCCCCUCGGAAUGCUGGGUCUUCCUCAGGUCUGAUCUGCAGCUGAGGUGCUCACCUGUACCACUAGAUCAGGAGCAGAACACAGUUCAGCUGGGGAUUCGUAGACUCUUCCGUACAUUACCAAGGGAUACCCACUGUGCCCAUGUGGUGCUGUAUCAGGGCUACACCCACAGAAAGGUUCACCCCAGACAGCAGCUAAUCAUGCGGUGCCUGUAAGUGCUGGGAUUGUUAGAGGGAAACCCUGUGUU
rnacentral:lncRNA from 1 species